UCCGUUGGUGUUCUCAGUCUCAGUGCGACCUUGCUUGGUCAACAAGGGGAUCAAAAUGAGCGAGUUCUCGUCCCAUACUCAAGUCUGACUUCGAUCAUCGUCUCCCGUCUGCGCAAGAUGGAUUUGGCUUCGGUGAUUCACCAUUUGAAAGACGAGAGAACACUAUCGGCACAGAACCAACAAAGUCCGGUUCUGUUUCAACCGUAGGUAUUAGUGAAUGAAUAAAGAAAGUAGGUAUAUGUGAAUAAAUUCAUUAAGUCUUAAUGCCAAUGUCGGCCAAUAGGCUUAAAAACAAAAAGAAAAUGGAAAUGAAUGUUGGAGUCUCCUUACUUCUCAGCCCUAAGCUAAGUCUUCCUCAAUGACCGAUCACUUUUCAGCAUAUUCCGGUAAAGCCUUAAAGGCAAGGAAAGCUUUCAAGCUAAUAAGCUACUUAAGAAAGAAACUAAAGAAAGAAAAGAAUUGAAAAGACAGAAAGGAAAGAGUACAAAGAGAGAUACGGAAAGGUUGAAAAGCAGGGGAUAGGACAGUAAUAGGAUGGCAUUUCCCGUAUGAAUGGAUUAGGUAUAGGUGGAAGGAGAUGAAAGCUGGCGCAUAAGUAAUGUAAUGAUGGCUAAGGGCUUUCUUUUUACCGGUUUGAAAGGAAGAGUGUGCCAUGGUGAAAUGCAAGACAGAACAGAAAGCAAGGAAGGU
rnacentral:lncRNA from 1 species